rnacentral:rRNA from 1 species
UACGGAGGGUGCGAGCGUUGCUCGGAAUUACUGGGCGUAAAGCGUACGCAGGCUGUCUCAUAAGACGGGUGUGAAAGCCCGGGGCUCAACCCCGGAAUUGCGCCCGUGACUGUGGGGCUUGAAUGCGGGAGAGGGAAGCGGAAUUCCUGGUGUAGAGGUGAAAUGCGCAGAUAUCAGGAGGAACACCGGUGGCGAAGGCGGAUCUCUGGGCCGAUACUGACGCUGAGGAGCGAAAGCGUGGGGAGCGAACAGG